rnacentral:rRNA from 1 species
GUCCACGCUGUAAACGUUGCGAACUAGGUGUCGGGGGUAUUCACCCCUCCGGUGCCGAAGCUAACGUCUUAAGUUCGCCGCCUGGGAAGUACGGCCGCAAGGCUAAAACUACAAAGGAAUUGACGGGGGCCCGGCACAAGCGGUGGAGCAUGUGGUUCAAUUCGAUGCAACGCGAAGAACCUUACCUGGGCUUGACAUCCCGAGAAUCUCUCAGAAAUGAGGGAGUGCCCGUAAGGGAACUCGGAGACAGGUGCUGCAUGGCUGUCGU